AUACUCAAGAAUGAGCGAAAAACUUUAAUUUGAUCAUGGACUCAGAAUCCACGCUGGUUUGCGUGCACUAAUCACACUGCCAGUUGAACAGUGAAAGUCCCGCACAGGGAUGAAGUAAAAGUGGCGCACUGAGGUAGAAGUAACACAGUAGCUAACCUACCAUUCCGAGCUGGGGGAUAACCUGGGGUGACAACUCGCGGCUUAAAUACCUGCUAUAACACUCCAUAGGAACAGAGCAGCAAAGUCAGAAUAAGUGACUCCAAAAUGUGCCCAGCAAAGGCGAUCCCAUAGCGAAACGAAAGUGGGAGUGCAUCGCCAGCACAGAAACAUAAGACUAAAGAUUAGGGACUAAGUGUAAAAAAGGACCAAACACUAAAAGGGCAGAAAUAGAAUUCUGGGAAUCGCAAGAGGACCCAUAUUGGAAAGAACAGUGGCGCCUGGCGAAACUAGCGGACCAAACACAACAUUGGUGCAACACCAGUGGAUAAGAACAAACCUAGAGAGCCAGAAACGAUCCCCAAUACCCAGGAGAGGAAAGCGACAAAGACACAGAAAGUGAAGACGAAAACCUUAAAUACUGCCAACCAACAAACUUUAGACACCCCGGAAACAAAAACGGGUACGACAUUAGCCAGAAACGAUAUAAUCAACACGACGCCCAGGAAUUGGCCGACGCUGCACUAAGCAAAAAGAUGGCCCACAUAUCACACGAAGGAAGAACAACGUUAACAAACAACCCAAUCCA
rnacentral:rRNA from 1 species